AGUGGAAUUACUAGGUCAAGGUAACUAUGUUCGUCUUUUUGAAGAACUGCCAAGAUGUUUUCCAAAGUGGCUGCACCAUUUUACAUACCCACCAGCAAU
rnacentral:pre_miRNA from 1 species